GUCCACGCCGUAAACGAUGGGUGCUAGGUGUGGGGGUGGUCGACUCCCUCCGUGCCGCAGCUAACGCAUUAAGCACCCCGCCUGGGGAGUACGGCCGCAAGGCUAAACUCAAAGGAAUUGACGGGGCCCGCACAAGCAGCGGAGCAUGUGGUUUAAUUCGACGCAACGCGAAGAACCUUACCUGGGCUUGACAUGCACGGGAAUGUCGUAGAAAUACGGCAGCCCUUCGGGGCUCGUGCACAGGUGGUGCAUGGCUGUCGU
rnacentral:rRNA from 1 species